rnacentral:tRNA from 1 species
AGUAGGGUAAGCUAAACAAGCUAUCGGGC